rnacentral:rRNA from 1 species
GUGUUAGUGGAAGCGUCUGGAAAGGCGCGCGAUACAGGGUGACAGCCCCGUACACAAAAAUGCACAUGCUGUGAGCUCGAUGAGUAGGGCGGGACACGUGGUAUCCUGUCUGAAUAUGGGGGGACCAUCCUCCAAGGCUAAAUACUCCUGACUGACCGAUAGUGAACCAGUACCGUGAGGGAAAGGCGAAAAGAACCCCGGCGAGGGGAGUGAAAAAGAACCUGAAACCGUGUACGUACAAGCAGUGGGAGCACGCUUAGGCGUGUGACUGCGUACCUUUUGUAUAAUGGGUCAGCGACUUAUAUUCUGUAGCAAGGUUAACCGAAUAGGGGAGCCGAAGGGAAACCGAGUCUUAACUGGGCGUUAAGUUGCAGGGUAUAGACCCGAAACCCGGUGAUCUAGCCAUGGGCAGGUUGAAGGUUGGGUAACACUAACUGGAGGACCGAACCGACUAAUGUUGAAAAAUUAGCGGAUGACUUGUGGCUGGGGGUGAAAGGCCAAUCAAACCGGGAGAUAGCUGGUUCUCCCCGAAAGCUAUUUAGGUAGCGCCUCGUGAACUCAUCUCCGGGGGUAGAGCACUGUUUCGGCAAGGGGGUCAUCCCGACUUACCAACCCGAUGCAAACUGCGAAUACCGGAGAAUGUUAUCACGGGAGACACACGGCGGGUGCUAACGUCCGUCGUGAAGAGGGAAACAACCCAGACCGCCAGCUAAGGUCCCAAAGUCAUGGUUAAGUGGGAAACGAUGUGGGAAGGCCCAGACAGCCAGGAUGUUGGCUUAGAAGCAGCCAUCAUUUAAAGAAAGCGUAAUAGCUCACUGGUCGAGUCGGCCUGCGCGGAAGAUGUAACGGGGCUAAACCAUGCACCGAAGCUGCGGCAGCGACGCUUAUGCGUUGUUGGGUAGGGGAGCGUUCUGUAAGCCUGUGAAGGUGUACUGUGAGGUAUGCUGGAGGUAUCAGAAGUGCGAAUGCUGACAUAAGUAACGAUAAAGCGGGUGAAAAGCCCGCUCGCCGGAAGACCAAGGGUUCCUGUCCAACGUUAAUCGGGGCAGGGUGAGUCGACCCCUAAGGCGAGGCCGAAAGGCGUAGUCGAUGGGAAACAGGUUAAUAUUCCUGUACUUGGUGUUACUGCGAAGGGGGGACGGAGAAGGCUAUGUUGGCCGGGCGACGGUUGUCCCGGUUUAAGCGUGUAGGCUGGUUUUCCAGGCAAAUCCGGAAAAUCAAGGCUGAGGCGUGAUGACGAGGCACUACGGUGCUGAAGCAACAAAUGCCCUGCUUCCAGGAAAAGCCUCUAAGCAUCAGGUAACAUCAAAUCGUACCCCAAACCGACACAGGUGGUCAGGUAGAGAAUACCAAGGCGCUUGAGAGAACUCGGGUGAAGGAACUAGGCAAAAUGGUGCCGUAACUUCGGGAGAAGGCACGCUGAUAUGUAGGUGAAGCGACUUGCUCGUGGAGCUGAAAUCAGUCGAAGAUACCAGCUGGCUGCAACUGUUUAUUAAAAACACAGCACUGUGCAAACACGAAAGUGGACGUAUACGGUGUGACGCCUGCCCGGUGCCGGAAGGUUAAUUGAUGGGGUCAGCGCAAGCGAAGCUCUUGAUCGAAGCCCCGGUAAACGGCGGCCGUAACUAUAACGGUCCUAAGGUAGCGAAAUUCCUUGUCGGGUAAGUUCCGACCUGCACGAAUGGCGUAAUGAUGGCCAGGCUGUCUCCACCCGAGACUCAGUGAAAUUGAACUCGCUGUGAAGAUGCAGUGUACCCGCGGCAAGACGGAAAGACCCCGUGAACCUUUACUAUAGCUUGACACUGAACAUUGAGCCUUGAUGUGUAGGAUAGGUGGGAGGCUUUGAAGUGUGGACGCCAGUCUGCAUGGAGCCGACCUUGAAAUACCACCCUUUAAUGUUUGAUGUUCUAACGUUGACCCGUAAUCCGGGUUGCGGACAGUGUCUGGUGGGUAGUUUGACUGGGGCGGUCUCCUCCUAAAGAGUAACGGAGGAGCACGAAGGUUGGCUAAUCCUGGUCGGACAUCAGGAGGUUAGUGCAAUGGCAUAAGCCAGCUUGACUGCGAGCGUGACGGCGCGAGCAGGUGCGAAAGCAGGUCAUAGUGAUCCGGUGGUUCUGAAUGGAAGGGCCAUCGCUCAACGGAUAAAAGGUACUCCGGGGAUAACAGGCUGAUACCGCCCAAGAGUUCAUAUCGACGGCGGUGUUUGGCACCUCGAUGUCGGCUCAUCACAUCCUGGGGCUGAAGUAGGUCCCAAGGGUAUGGCUGUUCGCCAUUUAAAGUGGUACGCGAGCUGGGUUUAGAACGUCGUGAGACAGUUCGGUCCCUAUCUGCCGUGGGCGCUGGAGAACUGAGGGGGGCUGCUCCUAGUACGAGAGGACCGGAGUGGACGCAUCACUGGUGUUCGGGUUGUCAUGCCAAUGGCACUGCCCGGUAGCUAAAUGCGGAAGAGAUAAGUGCUGAAAGCAUCUAAGCACGAAACUUGCCCCGAGAUGAGUUCUCCCUGACCCUUUAAGGGUCCUGAAGGAACGUUGAAGACGACGACGUUGAUAGGCCGGGUGUGUAAGCGCAGCGAUGCGUUGAGCUAACCGGUACUAAUGAACCGUGAGGCUUAACCUU